rnacentral:rRNA from 1 species
AUGCAAGUCGAGCGGACAGAUGGGAGCUUGCUCCCUGAUGUUAGCGGCGGACGGGUGAGUAACACGUGGGUAACCUGCCUGUAAGACUGGGAUAACUCCGGGAAACCGGGGCUAAUACCGGAUGGUUGUUUGAACCGCAUGGUUCAAACAUAAAAGGUGGCUUCGGCUACCACUUACAGAUGGACCCGCGGCGCAUUAGCUAGUUGGUGAGGUAACGGCUCACCAAGGCRACGAUGCGUAGCCGACCUGAGAGGGUGAUCGGCCACACUGGGACUGAGACACGGCCCAGACUCCUACGGGAGGCAGCAGUAGGGAAUCUUCCGCAAUGGACGAAAGUCUGACGGAGCAACGCCGCGUGAGUGAUGAAGGUUUUCGGAUYGUAAAGCUCUGUUGUUAGGGAAGAACRAGUACCGUUCGAAUAGGGCGGUACCUUGACGGUACCUAACCAGAAAGCCACGGCUAAC